GUAUACUGAAGCCAACAGGACUCUAGGCCCAAACCCGGUUUUCAGCCAUUAACAGAAAGCUUGCACAACCUGAAACGUAAAAAAAACAGCAAUCACUUAUGUAAAAGGAGGCAACCGAUCUCAAUCGGAGAAAUCAAUGCUGAGAAGAGCUUAUUAAAAAAGCUCGGAGAAGGAAUCACACUGGCGUGGCGUUCUGGAUUGCCUCUUGGAGAAUUCUUCAUCGCGAUUUAGAACUUGUUCCGCAUUCAGGUGUUCAUCAUCAUCGCAUCACGUUCGUCCUUCACCCGCCACGGUAUUUUGUUCGUCGCGCAUCUGCCAUGGCGUUAUGCUCUCCGUGCAUCUGCCAUGGCAUCGUGUUGUUUCACGAUUUCAGAGCGGCUUCGAGUCAUCCGAAACGCGCUAUGGUUCAUGUUGUAAAUACGCCGCUUAAUAUCGCGUUUCAACACCGAACUCCAUGGAUUCACACUUCACUGCUUAACAUUAUUGCGCAUGGAUUCAAUUCACUGAUCCAAUGACUUAUCAAGAUUGCCCCGCCGCAAAUCCUAAUGGCGUCUAAUAACAACUACCAAUAGAAUAAAAAAGGCAGAAAACUCACAGUGCGUCGCGGUUACGGCAGUCGCUCACCUUAAUGUUGUGCCGGCAAAAUGAAAUAGAACGUGAGGCAUAUUGAUGCAGAAGGUGAAGGAACGAGACGAUGUUCUGCUUGCUGUUAAUCGGCGAAUGAUUCGGGAUCAAGAACAUUGUAGGCGAAUCUGAAAUUCUCCGGUGAGUCCCCUCUGCUAUCCUCCUGUUACGCUUCUUCUUCUCGCAAUUCCUUGGAUUGUUUGACUUGGUUGUGUUGCAGAGCGAAAUUGGAGGAAGGUGAUGGCAGAAGAUGAGGAUGCAGAGUCGUGAGAAUGAAGAGUGGAGUGGAAGAAUGGUAAAAGAGAAUGAAGAAGAUGGCAAUGCUUUGUUAUAUAGAGAGCAUGAAGUUGCAACUGAAUCGGGCACACCGGGCAGGGGGUGCUUUUAAGUCGCGAUUAAACCACCAGCUACGCUAAGUCGACGAAACUUUGAUGUUAACUUGGUUUAAAAAACCAUUAGCUAAUCCAAGUAGUGAGUUGGAUGUUAGUUGAACAAUGAUGAGUUGGUUAAAUGUUAUUGCCAUUGUAAUUGGUAAUUGGUGAAAAUUAUGCUAAUGUGAAUGAUUCCGAUUUCGCAUGAAUUAGGGACUGAACUAUGACUUGUAAAAACAUUCUGGAUUCUUAUUAUUGUGGAUUACCAAGUAACGGCUUGCUCAUUCGGAUCGGGUAUGCUAAUGAAAUCUCAAUUGGUUGGAGAUUGCUUGGAUAUAAAUUGGGAAUGAUUUGGUGAUGGAGAUGAACGAGUAUAAUUUGGAAGCAAGCUUCUUGUACAGGAAGUUUUAAGAGAUUGAAUUGGAAGAAAGAAAAUUGUAUUAUUACUAGGCAUUAUAUUGAAUGCAUCAAUUAAUUAUCAAUUGUGUAUUAGAUUUGAGUUGAAUGAGAAUAAAUUAUUAUUACGAAAAAUUUCUAUGUUAGGUAAGUUGGAGUUGAUUUGGUUAUGUUUAUUGCUCGUAGUUAAUGAAAAUUGUGUGCCAAGGUUUUGAAUAUAGCAUAAUGGCUUUGUCGAUUGUAGAAAAAUGAUUGUAUUGUACUUGUAUUAAUAUUUAAUGUAAUUUAAAGUGUAGCAUGGUGUAAUGGUGAUGAAGUAAAUAUUCGGCACGGCAGCUGGUUUAUAAUGCUAUGGCAGUCAAUUUGAACAUUGGAUGAUAAUGUGUUGAUUAUGAUGUGAAAUGCUUGUGGAACUAAUGCCCAUGUAUGAUGCAAGAUGCAUGUAUAUACAAGUGUAACAACAUUAUGAUAAUAGUUUCUCGAAGCUUAAUGCUCUCCACUUGUUUUGCAAUGCAGGAAGUGUUUAUAUAAGAUGUGUAUGGAAUGGAUAUGGUGAUGUUAGAACCUUCAAGUAACAUGUUAGUUUUAGAUUUAUUUUUGGAAUGCUCACUUGAAAUGUGCCAUGAGCUUAUUAU